UACGUAGGGUGCGAGCGUUAAUCGGAAUUACUGGGCGUAAAGCGUGCGCAGGCGGUGAUGUAAGACAGUUGUGAAAUCCCCGGGCUCAACCUGGGAACUGCACUCGAUACUGCCAAGCUAGAGUAUCGGAGAGGUUGGUGGAAUUCCCGGUGUAGCGGUGAAAUGCGCAGAUAUCGGGAGGAACACCAGUAGCGAAGGCGGCACUCUGGGCCGGUACUGACGCUGAGGCACGAAAGCGUGGGGAGCAAACAGG
rnacentral:rRNA from 1 species